rnacentral:rRNA from 1 species
AUGAUCCAGAGUUACUACAGCUUGUGGAGGUUGAGCUUCGAGCAGAGCUUCUCAAUUUCUACAAGUACCCUGGUGAUGAGGUUCAUAUCAUCCAUAGAUCUGCCCUGUCAUCCUUGGAUGGCCAUGGUUAUCCUCCCCCUCCUCCUGCUCCGCGUGCCUCUCACCGCUGCCCAAACGUGGCCAUCCUGUGGUGAGAGCGGCGACUACAAAUCAAAUAGCACAUACGAAGCCAACCUUAGGCUCCUCUCAUCCACCCUCCCGAAGAAAGCAGCGUCCAACACGACCCUCUUCGCCACCGACACUGUUGGCAAUGUUCCGAAUGUCAUCUUUGCCCUCGCACUCUGCCGUGGAGACUCCAACUCCUCUGCCUGCGAGGGCUGUUUGGUUAACGCCUUCCAGGACGGGCAGGAGCACUGCGCGAACAAUAUGGACGCCACCGUGUACUACGAUAACAAUCCCUGCAUGCUCAGGUUCUCCAACCAGAAUUUUCUCGCCACCACCGCCAAUGACCAUAUGCUCGUCAUUGUGAGCAUCGAGAGCUUGAUGAUGAACAUCCCGACAAGAGCCGACUCCUUCAAGCUCUUGUUGUUCACGCUUCUGAACAGCACGGCUCAAUCCGCCGCGAACAGCUCGAGGAGGUUCACCACCUCGCGCUUAGACGUCAACUCCUUCCCUACGCUCUACUGCCUUAUGCAGUGCACGCCAGACCUGACCGCCGACGACUGCACCGCAUGUUUGCAGCCUUACUUCCAGUAUACAGUCAAAUACAUGGAUGGUAAGAAAGGUGGUCGAGUACUGGGGACACGGUGUAGCAUGAGGUACGAGAUAUUCCCAUUCUUCCAAGGGGACCCCAUGCUGCGUAUUAUCAACUUGGUAUCUGAAGUUCCGGCGAUCAACAACACCGUGCCACUGAUUACCGUGAACCCACCUCCGCAGUCGCAGUCGCCGGUUGCGGCAGCACCACCUCCGGAGGCGCAAGCGACCACCCAAGAAAUUCAUGGACGCAACUCACGCCAGAGGCCGCUCUGGAUUAUCGCUGUGGCAGCUCCAUUACUGUCAAUAUUUCUGUGCGUUAUCUGUUUUGUUGUAUGGAUGAGAAGGCGAAGAAAAGGAACGGAAAUCUUACAUGAUCAAGCUGCCAUGAAUAGGCCGGACGAAGACGCAUUGGUUUGGAGAUUGGAAGAGAAGAGUUCAGAGUUCACUCUGUUUGACUUAUCAGAGGUAUUGCGUGCUACACACAACUUCUCCAAAGAAAACCUACUUGGGCAAGGUGGUUUUGGCCCUGUCUACAAGGGCCGGUUACCAGAUGGAACAGAAAUUGCAGUUAAAAGGCUUGCCUCACAUUCAGGACAGGGUUUCACAGAAUUCAAAAAUGAAGUUGAACUUAUUGCGAAAUUACAGCACAAUAAUCUGGUCAAGCUCAUAGGAUGCUGCAUUGAGGGAGAGGAAAAACUUUUGGUGUACGAAUAUUUGCCAAAUAAGAGCUUGGACUUCUUCAUCUUUGAUGUUAACCGAACAACUUUGGUUGGUUGGAAUAAAAGAUGUGUGAUAAUCGAAGGGAUAGCCCAAGGUCUACUGUAUCUCCACAAGCACUCUCGGUUGCGCAUCAUACACAGAGACCUUAAGGCCAGCAACAUUCUCUUGGACCAGGACAUGAAUCCUAAAAUUUCUGAUUUUGGGCUAGCAAAAAUUUUCAGCUCCAAUGAUACUCAAGGAAGCACAAAGAAGGUGGUGGGAACAUAUGGUUAUAUGGCUCCGGAGUAUGCAUCUGAAGGAAUUUACUCGAUCAAAUCUGACGUGUUCAGUUUUGGUGUGUUGCUUCUCGAGAUCCUUAGUGGAAAAAGGAAUUCUGGUUUCCAUCAGCAUGACGACUUUCUUAACCUCCUUGGAUAUUCAUGGCAUCUCUGGGAAGGAGGGAGAUGUCUUGAGCUUCUAGAAACAUCGAUUGUUGAGGAGAUCCAUGCAGCAGAGGCUAGUAGGUACAUUAACAUUGCGCUAAUGUGCGUACAAGAGCGCGCAGACAAUCGACCAACCAUGUCGACUGUCGUUGCAAUGUUAAACAACGAGAAUUUUAUUCUUCCAGAGCCUAAACAUCCAGCAUACUUCAACCUAAGGGUAUCUAAGGAAGAUGAAUCGGGUAGUGUUCCAUACAGUAAUAAUGCCGACACCAUCUGCAGUAAUAAUGACUUGACCAUCACUGAGGAGCCAGAUGGCAGAUAG